rnacentral:rRNA from 1 species
AUGUGGGUGAAGCAGGUCCGUGAUGUGGCCUACAAUGUCGAGGACACUCUUCAGGAUUUUGCUGUCCUCCUGGAUAGGCACAGGAAAUCAUGGUGGCGUAUCCCCCGUACGCUGCUGGAUAGGCGCCAUGUGGCCAAGCAGAUGAAGGAGCUCAAAGACGAUGUCGAGGAUGUUAGACAAAGGAGCAUGCGGUACCACCUCAUCAAGGGCUCUGGCUCUGGCUCCAAGCCUGCCGCCACCGGUGGGCAAUCUGCUGUUCUAGGAGAAACCAUGUCUGGCAUCGAGGAGUCAAGGCGGCAGCGGGAGAAAUCAAAAGUGAAUCUUGUCCGAUUGCUCAACAAGAGGGACAACAAUAACCUCAAGGUGAUUGGGGUGUGGGGAACAAGUACUGUUGACUUUGAGAUUGAGGGUAGUACAUCCAUCAUCAAGAGGGCCUAUGAUCAUUUGAAGAGACACGACAAGUUUAAUUGUUGUGCCUUUAUAAGGUUGAUGUCGGCAUUCAAUCCAAUGGGGUUCAUCCAAAACAUCAUUAGGCAGUUAUAUGUAAGCCUUCUUCAAGAGUCCAAGCAAAGUGAACAGGCAUCAAUGGAGGCCCAGAUACUGAGGAGAAUGCGGGUGAACAAGGAAGAAGAAGAUGAUCUCAUUGACGAGUUCAAGGGAUACCUGAAGGAAAAGAGUUAUCUGGUUGUGUUGACGGAUGUCUCUAGCAUUAAACAGUGGGAUCAGAUAAAAAUAUUAUUUCCACACAACAAGAGAGGGAGCCGAAUCAUGGUUUUCACACCACAAGUUGAAGUUGCAACUUUAUGUGUAGGUCAUGAGAGCUUAGAACCAGAGCACAAGCAGUUGUCUUCUGAUGAGACUCUUUAUGCUUUCUACGAAAAGGGUUAUCCUGAAGAGGAAAUAUCACCGGAGCCAAUGCCAAGCCCAAAUGCGACAACUAGUGGGACCAACAACUCCAUGGACAGAAAUAGCAUUACUCGCAUCGACACGAUGGUGUUUGCUGCUUUGGAGGAAUCUCAGCUCAUCGGGCGAGUGAAUGAAAGAUCUGAAAUCAUCGAACUAGUUUCAAAUAAACAUGGACAAGAACUUCAGGUGAUGUCAUUAUGGGGAAUGGGUGGUCUUGGGAAAACCACACUAUUCAGAGAUAUAUAUCAAAGCCAAGAGAUCAGUCAAAUGUUUGAGGCACGUGCUUGUGCCACUGUCAUGCGUCCUUUCAAUUGUGAGGAGCUUCUUAGAAGCUUGGCAAUGCAGUUUGGAAAUGUGACAGAUCUGAGAGGUUAUUUAGAUGGAAAGAAGUACUUGAUUGUUCUCGAUGACAUAUCAUCUGCUGCCGAAUUCAAUGCCAUAAUACAACAUUUUCCCAAAACAGCGGGAAGUUGCAUCAUAGUCACCACAAGGGAAGAGAGUAUUGCUAAGCACUGUUCAAAUGUGGAAGGAAAUGCACGGAAGCUCAGCACCCUGAAUUAUGAUGACGCUCACAUUCUUUUGAUGAGGAAGGUAUUUAAGGAGACUGUAAAUUUGGAUGAUGAGCUAGUUGAACAAGAAGAACUGAUUCUGAAGAAAUGCAAAGGGCUUCCUCUUGCAAUAGUAGCUAUAGGUGGAUUUUUGGCAAACCAACCAAAAACAGCUCUAGAAUGGAGAAAGUUUAAUCAGCAUCUUAGUACUGAGUUGGAGAUGAAUCCAGAGCUUGAGACCAUAAGAGCAGUUCUUCUUAAAAGUUAUGAUGGUUUACCCUAUCAUCUUAAGUCAUGUUUUCUGUACCUGGACAUCUUUCCUGAAGACCAUGAGGUUAGCAAGCGACGGUUGGUGCGUCGGUGGAUUGCGGAGGGUUAUUCAAGGGAGAUGCGUGGAUAA